rnacentral:rRNA from 1 species
UUGAACGCUGGCGGCCGGCCUCACACAUGCCAGUCGAACGGUAACAGGAAGAAGCUUGCUUCUUUGCUGACGAGUGGCGGACGGGUGAGUAAUGUCUGGGAAACUGCCUGAUGGAGGGGGAUAACUCCGGGAAACGGUAGCUAAUACCGCAUAAUGUCCCAAAACCAAGGGGGGGGACCUUCGGGCCUCUUGCCAUCGGAGGUGCCCAGAUGGGAUUAGCUAGUAGGUGGGGUAACGGCUCACCUAGGCGACGAUCCCUAGCUGGUCUGAGAGGAUGACCAGCCACACUGGAACUGAGACACGGUCCAGACUCCUACGGGAGGCAGCAGUGGGGAAUAUUGCACAAUGGGCGCAAGCCUGAUGCAGCUAUGCCGCGUGUAUGAAGAAGGCCUUCGGGUUGUAAAGUACUUUCAGCGGGGAGGAAGGGAGUAAAGUUAAUACCUUGGCUCAUUGACGUUACCCGCAGAAGAAGCACCGGCUAACUCCGUG